ACACAUCGGCGGCGGGGAGGGAGCGCGGAGGCACUGCUCCGUGGAGUUGCCGGCUCGGGGACGCAGCGGGGAGCGGACACUGCAGAGUGGGGGAUGCUGCUCAUACCGCUUACGCGCUAGAAGAACCGGGAGGAUGCCUCAAACGCGGCAGGACCACGCAUGUGUCCACGUGCAGGGCAGCUAGUUUUGGUCUUUAAACUACCGAGCCCAUGCACAAAGGAAAGAAGCUUUUUUUUUUUUUUUUAAACCCUUCAAAAGGCGUGUUAGAGGAACAUUCCUUAACUUAAAGUAUUUCCGAAGCACUCUCUGGCAAUAAUAGUAAUAAAAUAAUUGUGACUUCAGCGAAGGAAGCUGAAAGCAAUUUUCUUUUCUUAACUGGUUAAAGUAGAGAGUCCUGUUAAACCGCAUGAAAAAAAAAAAAAAUCGGAGAGUCUUAAUCGACCGAAACUUUAAAGUUAAUUUAUGUGAGGUUUUCUCGUAGAAAAGGGGAAAUGAACGUGCGGGAAAACACGAGUUCAGAGCUAAGUAUGCUGUUAUCAAGGCUCUUUCUCUUUCCUUCUAACGUCUAUAGAUCUUUUGUUCCCCUCGUUACCGUGGCUGGAACUUCCUCUUACACUUCAGGCAUUUAAGUGAAACACGUUUCCAGCGUGCUCCUGCUGGGCCGGAGAGCCAAGCACCACCAGAGUUUUUAAACACGGGUAGGAACAGGAAAGCGCUCCCGGUGCCAACACGCAGCGAGAAGCGGAUGAGGCGAGGGCUGGCAGCAGCCAAGCAGCCUCCUCCGGUUCCCACCAGCCAUUCGCUCCCCACCAUUUCCCGGAGUGAAGACAUUUUGGUGGUGAAAGUUCCCGGAGCGCCUCUAUCCUCUGCCCUGCCAGCCUCAGAGGAGGCCACGCGUAAGGAAACGCGAUGAGAACGAGUGGGACGGAUGAGAGAGUCUGUCUGCAGCUCGGAGGCCGCGCAAAAACGGCUUUCAACGGCCUCAGUAAGAGAGGCAACGAGGAAACAGGAGCCCGAGGACCACCGCAGCCCCUCCAGCGGCCUCUCCCCCACCCCGAGCUGUCACCGCUCCCUUCCCCGGGCCCGGCCCCUGCUCCCCGCACUGCCGCAUGCCUCCCGCAUGCCUCCCACAUGGGCUCCCCGCGCUCCUCCCUCCCUCACACCAUCCCCCGAGGGCUUCCCCCACCCUCUCCGCUGCCCUUUCCCUUCCGCGCCUCAGCCUCCCUUCCACCCUUCCUCGUUUCCCCCGGCCCCCAUAGCCACCUUGGGCAUCGCCGCCGCUGGUCAGCACCCCGAUGGCUUUCCCGGUGCCGGAGAGGUUCUCGAAGAACUUGGGCUGGUGAUCCAUGGCUGCGGGGGAAGCGGGGGGCGCGGAGCGAGGUGGUGCGGGAGCCCCUGCGGCUCGGCCCUGCUGCCCGGGAGCACGAAAGCGGCUCUGUCAAGUAUUUGGCCUCCAAUUGAAAAAAUAAAAAAAUAAAUUUAAAACAAACAAACAAACAAAAAAAAAGACAAAAAACGGUGCUGGAAUGUAUUUACAGAACGCGUUUCGAUAAGGAAGAAAAAAAAAAACGGAAGCAACGCGAAAAGCCCGGGGAAACGAAGAGGCGAAGAAAACGCGAGUGAGAUCAGACGUGCAGCACGCACAUCGCACCCCGCACCUCCCGCCACCACCGCCGUUUCCUCCGACCGCUCCUGCUGACAGCCCUCUCGGCUCCGCCCUCCAACGCCCCUCCGCGAGCGGCGGUUGACGGUCGUCUCGAGCAGCCAAUAGGAGGGCGCGCUGUUGUCUCGAGCCACGGGUGGGCGGUUACGUUUGUGAGGCAGCGGGCAGGGGAGAAGAAUACGUAAGUCUGUCUUUCUCACCUUGAGAACUUCAGCAUUGAGCCAUCAUUUUGUGCCACAGGAUAAUUUGUAAGCUUGCAGUACUAUGACCCACAACAGUCCCCCGGGGCCAUUUCCUUGCUAUGCUGAGUUCAAAAGGAAGGACUGAGCUUUGUGUCCUGGCAGGAAGCCUUUUUACCCUUAAGCCAGCUGCCUGAUUUUGUCUUGCUGACUCACUGAGAGUACAUGACCUGCACCAGAUCAGUAGUUUCUUGUGGAGAAGCACUUCAGGAACUGUUGGGAAGAACUCAGAUAUACACAGAUCAGUUUAAAAAAUUCCACUUGCUACUUUGCUUCAAAUAUAUACUUUUUCAUUUAUACAUUGAUAUAUUCUUGCUGGUACUUGUCAGUGAUAGUAAUGAAUCCUUGCUACAGAGAGUCACUCACUUCUACACUAUGCUUGGGUUACUCUUAGACAUUUUAUAGAGCAUGCUAUAGCAGUUGACAGAUCUCAACUUUUCUGGAUUUGUUACUAGUGUAUUCCUGUCACAGAAACUACAAGACUACUUCUUCUUUAGUGUUUUUACAUUAGUAGUGUGGUUAAUUCAAUAAUUUCUUCUGAAAUAAAUAAAGCUAUUUACUAGAC